UGACAAAGCUGGGGGAGGGAGGUGGGUCCUCAUCCGGGCUGAGGGACCGGACCCACAUGGCCUUCCAGGAGGGACUUGGGGACUCCGUCAGGACUAAACUGAGGCCUCCCCCGACUCCAGGCGCAGCCACGUGGUCACGCUCUUUACCACAGCCCAGGCCGCCGGGGCCUCGCGCCUCACAAACUCCUCACAAACUCCUCCCUGUAUGGUUGCCCUGGAUUGGCGUGACCAGUGCCGCCCACACCGCGUGUCCUCAUCACGGCCACCCCGCUGACCUGCCCCACCUACAGCGCAGCACACCGCAACCUGGCAACCGCCUCCGCCCGCAAGGGCCGUCGAGUAAUGGCGCCUCCUCGCCUCCCGGGCGCCAACGGAAAGGUGCCCUAAAUUUAUAACAUGGUGGCCCCGUCUUUUGACAAAUUUCACCAUCAUGCACGAUGCUGCCUGCUUUGCAUUGCCGUGACAGACAAUAACUGCUUUAUUCAACCCUUCGGUUAUCCUAUGAUCUAGUGGAAACUCCAUGGCUUCACGUGAAGAGAGUUAAAUAUUGAUAUAGGUGGUGCCAAAUCAAAGUUUAAAAUGGAUGCAAGUGACAUCGAAGCGGCCGUAUCACCGGAUAACCUAAGCCCAGCAUGGAUGAUUAAUGAUGGCUUCCCCAUAGUUGUACCAGCAGAGAUGCUACACUCCCUGAGGCACCCUUCCACCCCUUAUAUACCCUAGCAGCACCCAAGCCGACGAGCCAAGUGCAAUUACCGCAGAAUUACAUCUAGCUGGAGAGGGAGAGAAUCAGCUGACAGCCCAGUGACCACUGCACCCAAUUCUUUGAAGGAAUGUCAAUAGUCAACAGGUCAAUGUUUCUCAAGUCAUAACAAUAGUAACAGCUGCUCUCAUGAAGAUGACAGCUGUGAUGCUCAGUGGCCAGCACCCCUUUCUGAUUUAAUUAUGCUUUGGAAUGUGCUUGAAAAAAGUGUGUGUGUAUGUUUGUGUGUGUGUGUUCAAAUCACAGAAUAAAACCUAC
rnacentral:lncRNA from 1 species